rnacentral:rRNA from 1 species
GACGAACGCUGGCGGCGUGCUUAACACAUGCAAGUCGAACGGAAAGGCCCUGCUUUUGUGGGGUGCUCGAGUGGCGAACGGGUGAGUAACACGUGAGUAACCUGCCCUUGACUUUGGGAUAACUUCAGGAAACUGGGGCUAAUACCGGAUAGGAGCUCCUGCUGCAUGGUGGGGGUUGGAAAGUUUCGGCGGUUGGGGAUGGACUCGCGGCUUAUCAGCUUGUUGGUGGGGUAGUGGCUUACCAAGGCUUUGACGGGUAGCCGGCCUGAGAGGGUUACCGGCCACAUUGGGACGGAGAUACGGCCCAGACUCCUACGGGAGGCAGCAGUGGGGAAUAUUGCACAAAGGGCGGAAGCCUGAUGCAGCAACGCCGCGUGCGGGAGGACGGCCUUCGGGUUGGAAACCGCUUUCGCCUGGGACGAAGCGUGAUUGACGGUAAUGGGUAAAGAAGCACCGGCUAACUACGGG